UACUCCAAGGGGUGUCAUUCACACAGAAUACAAUGCAAUGGCAUCCCUUGUAGUUGGGCAACAUAGCUCCAGG
rnacentral:miRNA from 1 species